rnacentral:lncRNA from 1 species
GGUCGUAUGUCGCAAUAGGGUCACGAUAGUGUCGCGAUAGGGUCACGAUAGGGUUGUAUGUCGCGAUAGGGUCACGAUAGCGUCGCGAUAGGGUCACGAUAGGGUCAUAUGUCGCGAUAGGGUCACGAUAGGGUCGUAUGUCGUAAUAGGGGCACGAUAGGGUCACGAUAGGACCACAAUAGGGUCACUAUAGGGUCAUAUGUCACGAUAGGGUCUUAUGUCAUGAUAGGGCCACAGUGAUAUUGCGAUAGAGCCAUAUGUCACGAUAGGGCCACGAUAGGGUCAUGAUAGGGUUGUAUAUCGCGAUAGGGUCGCGAUAAGGCCACGAUAGGGUCAUGAUAGGGUCGUAUGUCGCGAUAGGGCCGCGAUAGGGCCACAAUAGGGUCGUAUGUCGUGAUAGGGUCAUGAUGAUAUCCCGAUAGGGCCAUAUGUCACGAUAGGGUCGCGAUAGGGUCACAAUAGGGCCAUGGUGAUAUCGCAAUAGAGCCAUAUGUCACGAUAGGGCCAUGAUAGGGUCGCAAUAGGGCCACAAUAGGGUCACAAUAGGGUCAUAUGUCAUGAUAGGAUCACGAUGAUAUCGCGAUAGGGCCAUAUGUCACGAUAGGGCCACGAUAGGGCCGCAAUAGGGCCACAAUAGGGUCACGAUAGGGUCAUAUGUCGCGAUAGGGCUGCGAUAGGGUCAUGGUGAUAUCCCGAUAGGGCCAUAUGUCGUGAUAGGGCCGUGAUAGGGUCACGAUAGGGUCGUAUGUCGUGAUAGGGCUGCGAUAGGGUCAUGGUGAUAUCGUGAUAGGGCCAUAUGUCGCGAUAGGGCCACGAUAAGGUCACAAUAGGGCCACAAUAGGGUCACGAUAGGGUCAUAUGUCGCGAUAGGGCCGCAAGAGGGUCAUGGUGAUAUCCCAAUAGGGCCAUAUGUUGUGAUAGGGCCGCGAUAGGGUCACGAUAGGGCCACGACAGGGCCAUAUGUCGCGAUAGGGCCACAAUAGGGUCGCAGUAGGGCCAUUAUAGGGUCACAAUAGGGUUGUAUGCCACGAUAGGGCCAUGAUAGGAUCAGUAUAUCGUGAUAUAAGAUGCCAUAUGGUGAUAUAUCGCUCCAUAUCGCUCCAUAUCGCACCACAUUGCGACAUAAGGCAGUAUAUCGCGACAUAAGGUGCCACAUGGCGAUAUAUCGCGACAUAUCGCGACAUAAAGGUGCCCUAUGGCGACAUAUCGCGACAUAUCGCGACAUAAAGGUGCCACAUGGCGAUAUAUCGCGACGUAUCGCGACGCAUCGCGACAUAAAGGUGCCGUAUUGCACCGUAUCGCGCCGUAAAGCAGUAUAUCGCGACAUAAAGGUGCCAUAUCGCACCGUAUCGUGAUAUAUUGCGACAUAAAG